rnacentral:rRNA from 1 species
GAUGAACGCUGGCGGCGUGCCUAAUACAUGCAAGUCGAACGCUGGAGAUCUAGCUUGCUAGAUCGAAGGAGUGGCGAACGGGUGAGUAAUACAUAAGCAACCUACCCACGAAGACUGGGAUAAUCUCUGGAAACGGGGACUAAUACCGGAUAGGUAAUCGGAAGGCAUCUUCUGGUUAUUAAAGGUUAAACACUGGUGGAUGGGCUUAUGGCGCAUUAGUUAGUUGGUGAGGUAACGGCCCACCAAGACGAUGAUGCGUAGCCGGCCUGAGAGGGUGAACGGCCACAUUGGGACUGAGACACGGCCCAGACUCCUACGGGAGGCAGCAGUAGGGAAUUUUCGGCAAUGGGGGCAACCCUGACCGAGCAACGCCGCGUGAGUGAAGACGGCCUUCGGGUUGUAAAGCUCUGUUGUAAGGGAAGAACGGUAGAUAGAGAAUAUCUAAGUGACGGUACCUUACCAGAAAGCCACGGCUAACUACGUG